rnacentral:rRNA from 1 species
GUGUCAGCAGCCGCGGUAAGACGAACCGUGCAAACGUUGUUCGGAAUCACUGGGCUUAAAGCGCGUGUAGGCGGGUCGCCACGUCGGGCGCUGAAAUCCCCCGGCUCAACCGAGGAACGGGCACCGAUACGAGCGGCCUGGAGGGGAGUAGGGGGACCUGGAACUUCCGGUGGAGCGGUGAAAUGCGUUGAGAUCGGAAGGAACGCCCGUGGCGAAAGCGGCGCGCUGGACCACUACUGACGCUGAGGAACGAAAGCUAGGGGAGCAAACAGGAUUAGAUACCCCCGUAGUCC